UAUCUUUGCUAACGUAGAGGUGGCCAGACCCCGAUUGUGGGGCGCGGCUGAAAAGGGAAUCCGGUUAGAAGCCGGAGCUGUCCCCGCAACUGUACGCUUCAGAAGUUGGUGCGCCUCAGCUGCCACUGUUUCGAUGAUGGUUUCUUUCUAGUUGAAAGAAACUGGAGGAAUGGGAAGGCGGCGCAUCAGAAGCAAGCCAGGAGACCUGCCUUUGCAAUUCCCAUGUU
rnacentral:ncRNA from 1 species